rnacentral:rRNA from 1 species
UAGACUGUAGGUGAAAGCUUACAUCUCUUCGGAGCAUUUUACGAGGUGCUGCAUGGUUGUCGUCAGCUCGUGCCGUGAGGUGUCGGGUUAAGUCCCAUAACGAGCGCAACCCUACCCUUUAGUUGCCAUCAGGUAAUGCUGGGGACUCUAAAGGAACUGCCUACGCAAGUAGUGAGGAAGGCGGGGAUGACGUCAAAUCAGCACGGCCCUUACGUCCAGGGCUACACACGUGCUACAAUGGCCGAUACAGAGGGCAGCUACCUGGUGACAGGAUGCAAAUCUCCAAAGUCGGUCUCAGUUCGGAUCGGAGUCUGCAACCCGACUCCGUGAAGUUGGAUUCGCUAGUAAUCGCGCAUCAGCCAUGGCGCGGUGAAUACGUUCCCGGGCCUU